UAGGGUUUUCAAAAUCCAAUUGUGUGUUCGAUUUUAACCACCAAAUCAAUAAGAAUAAGGAUGGGGAUGCUUUUCUCUCAAGUGCUUCGAUUAUUAUGCCUGAUCCUCCUCUUAUCUCAAGUCGCUUGCGAACCAGGUCGAGAUGCUGAUAUGCCUAGGCCGCCACCAAAAGAACUUUUAGAAGGGCCGCCUUCAGGACGUCCGUGAGAACAAGAAUGACGCAUCCGCAUUCGAUUUGGAGUAAAAGGAUCUGCUUGUCACUGGUUUCAGUGAAUUCUGAUUAAGUAUUAAUUUAACGAAGCCGGAUUAGCGUUUAGAAAAAUCAAAUAAAAUGGUACGAGUAAAAAUUAUUGUUAUGGCUUAUUUCUUUAGUAAUAUUUUAUUUUGUUGUUUUUCAAGGAUUUUCCGCUAUCCAUUGUAAUUCUAUA